GAGACUCUGUGCGCGUGCAUAUCAAUAAGCGGAGGAAAAGAAACUAACAAGGAUUCCCUUAGUAACGGCGAGUGAAGCGGGAAGAGCUCAAAUUUGAAAUCUUCAAGGUUCUACCUUGACGAAUUGUAGUUUAUAGAAGUGUUUUCUGUUAGUAGAGUGGCAAAAGUUCUUUGGAAUAGGACAUCAUAGAGGGUGAGAAUCCCGUAUUUGGUCAUUCUUUCUAGCUUUGUGAUACACUUUCAACGAGUCGGAUUGUUUGGGAAUGCAGUCCAAAAUGGGUGGUAAAUUUCAUCUAAAGCUAAAUAUUGGCGAGAGACCGAUAGCGAACAAGUACCGUGAGGGAAAGAUGAAAAGAACUUUGAAAAGAGAGUCAAACAGUACGUGAAAUUGUCAAAAGGGAAGCGUUUGACACCAGUGUUGUUUUUCCGAAAAUCAAUUACGAAUGUUUUGUUUUUGAGAAGCUAUGACUUCAUCGGCUUGCUUCUUUCUUUACGAAACUUUCUUAAUGCACUUUUCGGUUAACAAGUCAACAUCAAUUUCUUUUGUUGUAAAAGGAGUCAGAUGGAAGGUGGCUUGCAGCUUCGGUGAAAGUGUUUAUAGCCUUUGGCUUCUGCAAUCGGAGAGAUUGAGGUCUGCAGCGUAGAUCCUUCGGGGUUAGAUACAUUUGUGCUAAGUUAUAGUUUUUCAUAGACAACAUGUUGACUAUGAUUAAUCAUGUAGCUUACUCGCUUAUGCUAUUUUACCUACGCUUAGGAUGUUGACAGCAGUAUAGACUGU
rnacentral:rRNA from 1 species